UAUACCUUCCGGAAACCUGCCUCACCCAAUGUGAUACGGAAUCGCUAUUAUUUUUUUUAUUUUUACAACACACUCAAGAACCUCCAGAAGCUAACCAGCUAACUAGCUACAAGCUAUUUAGUCAUUGUUAGUUUUUUUAAACCUGGAUAACACUCGCCAGUCCAGCUUCCCUGCCCCAUCCACCGCUGCCCCCUGGACACUGAUCUCUUGGCUACAUAGCUGAUGCACGCUGGACUGUCCAUUAAUCACGGUACUCCAUUCUGCUUGUUUGUUUUAUCUGUUGGCCCCGUUGCCUAGUCUACGCCAUUUUACCUGCUGUUGUUGUGCUAGCUGAUUAGCUGUUGUCUCACCUACUGUUUUAGCUAGCUUUCCCAAUUCAACACCUGUGAUUACUGUAUGCCUCGCUGUAUGUCUCUCUCAAAUGUCAAUAUGCCUUGUAUACUGUUGUUCAGGUUAGUUAUCAUUGUUUUAGUUCACAAUGGAGCCCCUAGUUCCACUCUUCAUGCCCCUGAUAACUCCUUUGUCCCACCUCCCACACAUGCGGUGACCUCACCCAUUACUACCAGCAUGUCCAGAGAUACAACCUCUCUCAUCAUCACCCAGUGCCUGGGCUUACCUCCGCUGUACCCGCACCCCACCAUACCCCUGUCUGCGCAUUAUGCCCUGAAUAUAUUCUACCAUGCCCAGAAACCAGUUUUGAUAGCCUUUAGCCGCAUCCUCAUACUACUCCUUCUCUGUUCCGCGGGUGAUGUGGAGGUAAACCCAGGCCCUGCAUGUCCCCAGGCACCCUCAUUUGUUGACUUCUGUGAUCGAAAAAGCCUUGGUUUCAUGCAUGUCAACAUCAGAAGCCUCCUCCCUAAGUUUGUUUUACUCACUGCUUUAGCACACUCUGCUAACCCUGAUGUCCUUGCUGUGUCUGAAUCCUGGCUCAGGAAGGCCACCAAAAAUUCAGAGAUUUCCAUACCCAACUAUAACAUCUUCCGUCAAGAUAGAACUGCCAAAGGGGGAGGAGUUGCAGUUUACUGCAGAGAUAGCCUGCAAAGUAAUGUCAUACUUUCCAGGUCCAUACCCAAACAGUUCGAACUACUAAUUUUGAAAAUUACUCUCUCCAGAAAUAAGUCUCUCAUGGUUGCCGCCUGCUACCGACCCCCCUCAGCUCCCAGCUGUGCCCUGGACACCAUUUGUGAAUUGAUCGCCCCCCAUCUAGCUUCAGAGUUUGUUCUGUUAGGUGACCUAAACUGGGAUAUGCUUAACACCCCGCCAGUCCUACAAUCUAAGCUAGAUGCCCUCAAUCUCACACAAAUCAUCAAGGAACCCACCAGGUACAACCCUAACUCUGUAAACAAGGGCACCCUCAUAGACGUCAUCCUGACCAACUGGCCCUCCAAAUACACCUCCGCUGUCUUCAACCAGGAUCUCAGCGAUCACUGCCUCAUUGCCUGUAUCCGCUACGGAGCCGCAGUCAAACGACCACCCCUCAUCACUGUCAAACGCUCCCUAAAACACUUCUGUGAGCAGGCCUUUCUAAUCGACCUGGCCCGGGUAUCCUGGAAGGACAUUGACCUCAUCCCGUCAGUUGAGGAUGCCUGGUCAUUCUUUAAAAGUAACUUCCUCACCAUUUUAGAUAAGCAUGCUCCGUUCAAAAAAUGCAGAACUAAGAACAGAUACAGCCCUUGGUUCACCCCAGACCUGACUGCCCUCGACCAGCACAAAAACAUCCUGUGGCGGACUGCAAUAGCAUCGAAUAGUCCCCGUGAUAUGCAACUGUUCAGGGAAGUCCGGAACCAAUACACGCAGUCAGUCAGGAAAGCUAAGGCCAGCUUCUUCAGGCAGAAGUUUGCAUCC
ensembl:lncRNA